UGGGGAAUAUUGCGCAAUGGGCGAAAGCCUGACGCAGCAACGCCGCGUGUGUGACGAAGGCCCGUGGGUCGUAAAGCACUGUUAGGAGGGAAGAAACAAAUGACGGUACCUCCAGAGAAAGCACCGGCUAACUCCGUGCCAGCAGCCGCGGUAAUACGGAGGGUGCAAGCGUUGUUCGGAAUCAUUGGGCGUAAAGCGUACGUAGGCGGUCUAGCAAGUCUGGUGUGAAAGCCCGGGGCUCAACCUCGGAAUGCCACUGGAAACUGCUAGACUUGAGAGUGAGAGGGGAUAGUGGAAUUCCUGGUGUAGGAGUGAAAUCCGUAGAGAUCAGGAGGAACACCGGUGGCGAAGGCGACUGUCUGGAUCACAUCUGACGCUGAGGUACGAAAGCGUGGGGAGCAAACAGG
rnacentral:rRNA from 1 species